rnacentral:lncRNA from 1 species
CGUUUGAAUGGUUUAACACUAGUAAUUUUGGGGCCCUUUAUAGCUUGUUGUUCGGUAUGAGCCAAGGCUCCGUGUUGAAGGCUGUACAUUGACCUAUAAUGGUUUACUUUUAUAAAUUGUUAUUUGGAUGGAGAGUUGUCUCAUUGGCACUCAUACCACAUCUUCCUAUAUCUAAAUUCAAAAUCAAAUUUUAAAACUUAUGACAUUGCAAAUCUCAGACAUAUAUUAUGUAAGACUAAAUCACGUAUAUCAUAAGUUCAUUGUUUUCUAUUGUUUUAUGUUUAUGUACAUUGUAUCAUAAUUAUACACUUAUGUUUGUGUACAUUGUAUCAUAAUUAUACACUUAUGUUUGUGUUUAUGGUAUCCUUCAAGUUAACGCUAUGAAACCUCUUUUAAGAAAGAAAAAACUUACGGGUUUGAUGUGUUACAAAAAUUUCAUUUACAAGUGUCAUUAAUAUUUACAUUUAUU